rnacentral:rRNA from 1 species
AACGUAGGGGACAAGCGUUAUCCGGAUUUACUGGGCGUAAAGCGCCCGUAGGCGGCCUGACAAGUUGGACGUGAAAGCUCCUGGCUUAACUGGGAGAGGCCGUUCAAAACUGUCAAGCUAGAGUCUGGAAGAGGAGAGCGGAAUUCCCGGUGUAGUGGUGGAAUGCGUAGAGAUCGGGAGGAACACCAGUGGCGAAAGCGGCUCUCUGGUCCAAAACUGACGCUGAGGGGCGAAAGCGUGGGUAGCAAACAGG